CCAUAUUCUUUAGUCUUCCAUAUAGGGAAUUCAACUCAUUGCGCCAUAAUUUAAACCCUAUGCAUAUUGAAAAGAGUGUGUAUGAUAAUAUUAUAUACUCUUUGCUAAAUGAUAAGAAAAAUCAAACGAUCAUGUUAAAGCUCGAAAAGAUCUACGAGAUAUGGGUAUAAGGCGUGAUCUUUGGCCAGACGAGAAAGAUUCUUAGGUCAUUUGAAGUCCCUGGUAGGAAAUAAAGCACAAGCAGAAGGUUCUAUAGCUGGAAGUUACAUAGUUGAAGAAGCUCUAACUCUUUGUUCUCGGUAUUUUGAGGAUAUUUAGUCAAGAGUAAAUAGGCCUAAACGUGUAAGUGAUGAACCAAAUCAUAGCAAGGCUUCUGAAAGGCCAUCUAUGUUCCCUCAACAAGGUAAAUUUGUUGGAGGCUCCACAACAUUCCCCAUGACUCCUUUGGAGAAAACUCAAGCUCAUCGCUAUGUGUUACUCUAUUGUGCUGCAGUGAAGCCAUCUAUUGAUGAAUUUAGGCAACACAUCAAAAGCAGUUCAAGAGGGCGAAGACCUUCAACAACAGAGGUAUAGAGAAGAGUCACUAAAGAGUUCUCUGAUUGGUUUCCAAAGCGAAUUAUGAAUCCAGAUAUAUCAGACACAAUAUCUGAUGAUAUGAAGUUCUUAGCACAAGGUCCAGCGCCAAAUGCAAAAAGAUUCACGGCUUAUAACAUUAAUGGAUUCAAAUUUUGGAUUUUGUCUAGAGAACAAGGAUUGCAAACUCAAAAUAGUGGAGUUUUUCUUAUUUCUGACACUUAUUGCAUUGCAUCUAAUGCUGAUAGAAAUGCGAGGCAAGCAGACUUACCAUAUUAUGGGAAGCCGGAAGAUAUUAUUGAGCUUAAUUAUUAUGGCUGGUUCAAGGUUGUGCUUUUCAAAUGCCAGUGGGAUGACACUACUCGUGAUAGAGGGUUCAAAAGAGAUGUUUGGAAUUUUAAUUGUGUCAAUUUUUCUAAAUUGAUUCACACCGGUGAUAGUGAGGAUCAUGAUCCUUAUAUUGAAGCAUCUCAAGAAAAUAUGGCCUAUGUUGAUGAUGAAAAUGAUGAGGAUCAUGAUCGUGAUGUUUUGUUUCAUCUAUGAUAGUUCAAUGUUUAUAUCAUAUGUUGAAGUGAUCAUAAAAUAUUCUAUUUUUUGAUAUAACGAAGACCAAGCAUUGGCAGAACUUCAAAAUGUCAAAUCAGGGGAAUGCACAACCAGCCCCGUCAGUUCAGGCAACAACAAAGACGGCUUCAUCGGUUCAGGCUACAUCACAGUUCGGUUUGUCAGUUCAGGCCACAUCACAAUUGGCUCCUUUGGUUCAAGUCGCAUCACAACCGACUUCAUCCUUUCCGUCCGCAUCACAGCCGACUUCGUCCUUUCAGACCGCAUCACAAUCGACUUCGUCCUUUCAGGCCGUAUCAUAGCCGACUUCAUCAGUUCAGGUCGCAUCACACCCUGCACCAUCCAGAAAGCAUAUUGAACGUGAGUCGAUGCAACAUUGGACUGUAGAUGCUAUAGAAGAAAAUAGGAAGAGGCUCAAAGUGAAAGUUAGGGAUGUUCUAAAUUUAUCUGGUGAAGAGCGCAUCGUGCUUGAAUUCGAUUACCUGGACGAACCAUUUGGAGAAGCACAAGGCCUUCUUGCUGGCUUUUGUGGAAUUUUGGCAACUGACUUCUCCUUAUUUCCAAUUCUCUUUGAGAAAUGGUCAGAUUUACCUAUAUCAUACUUCGACCAUGUAUUUGAUCUAAGUGUAAAGGUAUAAGCUCUAAUUCUUUCUGCUACACGUCUAUUUUAUUGUUGGACUUCAUAUUUGCAUGUAACAGAUAAGCUAACCAAUGUUUUAUUCUUGAAGCAACGAUUUUGUUUAAGACAGUCGAGUCAGUUGCACGAGGUUAUGUUUAUAAUUCUAUUUGGAAAAAGUGGAGCGCGGAUAGGCUAAACUUGUGGAGAGCAUUCUAUCCACUCAAAAGUAAAGCUCAGAUUAUGGAAAAUAUUCCGGCUGGGAUUCCACGGGAUCAGUGGACUUCGUUUGUUGAUUACCAUUUUAAAGAAAUAAUUUUGGUAUUUAUUUAAUUACUUCAACUUGUAUGUUUGAUUAUAUUUAGUUAUUUGUGUGAUUGGCUUUCAAGUAUUUUUUUUUGUAAGGAAAUGUGCAAAAGGAAUACUGAAAUUCGAAAGAAACAAACAUUUACAUAUAGGUGGCUCCAAACCUAACUCCAGAAGAGGGGCUGAAAUGAUGGUUGAGACUGGACGAAGGCCUGGACACGCACAACUUUAUUUUGAUACUCAUAAGAAAUAAGAUGGAACAUAUGUGAAUAAGGCGGCAAAGGAGAUAUGUGAAAAAAUUGAACUUGCUUUGAGCCAAAGCACGGUGGAUGAGUCUGGAGUUUUGCCGAAUGCUGUUGUUGUUAAAGUGCUAGGAAAAGGGCACUCUGGAAGGGUAAGGUGCUUAGGAUUAGGAGCUGUCCCAACAAAGUUUUUAAACAUGCAAGACCUCGUUUUGGUGGUAUGAAUGCUUUAAGUAGUGAUGCUUCAUGUUUGAACCAUUGCUAAGAGAACUUCAAUAAAUUGUUGAAUGCUCACAACCAAAGCCAAGAGAACUACAAAGAAAUAGUGAAUUCACACAAACAAAUGACGAAUGCUUUCAAGGCAUAUAUGAUAAUGAAAGAAGGGACAAUACCAGAACAAUUUACGAGGUUCUUUGCUUCUCCUCCUACAAUGCCAAGAGAUGCAACUAGUGGAUCUCUAUCACCCAUGGACGCAAGAAGAUCAUCUGAUGGCAGUAAUUCAGGUGACAACAAUUGAAGUUCUUUAUAAUUGAAUAUUAGAUAAUUAAUUAUGACAAUGUAAUUACGUGAUUGGAGCGGAUGUUAGAAUGGCUAGGGUGAAUAUUUUAUGUUAAAAUUUAGUUUGAAAACUACUGAAUUACUUUAUAUAUGAAAGUAACA